UAAUAAGAAUAUAAAAAAAGAGAGAUAUGCGCUAACAUAUCCCUCAAUUGUAGAACCGUUUAAGACGGUGGCAAGUUUAGUUUUUUGAUAAAAAA
rfam:Melissococcus plutonius ATCC 35311 DNA, complete genome.